UACGUAGGGUGCAAGCGUUGUCCGGAAUUAUUGGGCGUAAAGAGCGUGUAGGCGGCCAGGUAGGUCUGCUGUGAAAACUCGAGGCUUAACCUCGAGAUGUCGGCGGAAACCAUCUGGCUAGAGUCCGGAAGAGGAGAAUGGAAUUCCCGGUGUAGCGGUGAAAUGCGCAGAUAUCGGGAAGAACACCCGUGGCGAAGGCGGUUCUCUGGGACGGUACUGACGCUGAGGUGCGAAAGCGUGGGGAGCAAACAGG
rnacentral:rRNA from 1 species